rnacentral:lncRNA from 1 species
AUGAAUGACAAGCACAAGGUAUGUCCCACCAAUCAUCAUGCAACAUUGAAUUAAAUUCAUCCAAACAUGAAUUUUGUAAAAUUCAAGCUUGGGGGAGUACUUUACAUAAAAACAUCAUUUGCCAUGUUGCUACGUUGGUUGUCCCUACCUUUGAGAGAUGCUCAAUUUCUUAAGUACUAAUUACACUACUUCACCUCCACUUAAGU